rnacentral:rRNA from 1 species
AAUGAACGCUGGCGGCAGGCCUAACACAUGCAAGUCGAACGGAUCCUUCGGGAUUAGUGGCGGACGGGUGAGUAACGCGUGGGAACAUACCCUUUGGUACGGAAUAGCCUCGGGGAACUGGGAGUAAUACCGUAUGUGGUCGAGAGACGAAAGAUUUAUCGCCAAAGGAUUGGCCCGCGUUGGAUUAGGUAGUUGGUGGGGUAAUGGCCUACCAAGCCGACGAUCCAUAGCUGGUUUGAGAGGAUGAUCAGCCACACUGGGACUGAGACACGGCCCAGACUCAUACGGGAGGCAGCAGUGGGGAAUCUUAGACAAUGGGGGAAACCCUGAUCUAGCCACGCCGCGUGAUCGAUGAAGGCCUUAGGGUUGUAAAGAUCUUUCAGGUGGGAAGAUAAUGACUGUACCACCAGAAGAAGCCCCGGCUAACUCCGUGCCAGCCGCCGCGGUAA